rfam:Ornithorhynchus anatinus chromosome 2, whole genome shotgun sequence.
CACCUCUCAGGAUAGCAACUGGAGAGUUCCCAGUACUCUAUCAGUCUUGACCAUGGGAGGGUCAGGCAGAGGCAUACCCAUUCCAUUCCUAGUGUGGGCAGUGGCUAGUGAAUGGAAGGCAAUCUGCUACAAGU